GCAUAUCAAUAAGCGGAGGAAAAGAAACCAACAGGGAUUGCCUUAGUAACGGCGAGUGAAGCGGCAACAGCUCAAAUUUGAAAGCUGGCCCUUUCAGGGUCCGCAUUGUAAUUUGUAGAGGAUGAUUCGGCGAGGGCUCCCGCCUAAGUCCCCUGGAACGGGGCGUCAUAGAGGGUGAGAAUCCCGUAUGCGGUGGGCUGCGUUAGCCAUGUGAAUCUCCUUCGACGAGUCGAGUUGUUUGGGAAUGCAGCUCUAAAUGGGAGGUAAAUUUCUUCUAAAGCUAAAUACCGGCCAGAGACCGAUAGCGCACAAGUAGAGUGAUCGAAAGAUGAAAAGCACUUUGGAAAGAGAGUUAAAAAGUACGUGAAAUUGUUGAAAGGGAAGCGCUUGCAACCAGACUUGUCCGCAGUUGCUCAGCCGGUCUCCUGACCGGCGUACUCUUCUGCGGCCAGGCCAGCAUCAGUUCGGGCGGUCGGAUAAAGACCUCGGGAAUGUAGCUCCUCUCGGGGAGUGUUAUAGCCCGGGGUGCAAUGCGGCCAGCCUGGACUGAGGAUCUCGCUUCGGCAAGGAUGCUGGCGUAAUGGUUGUAAGCGGCCCGUCUUGAAACACGGACC
rnacentral:rRNA from 1 species